UAAGACGCGGAUCCGUAGCGAAAGCGAGUCCGAAAUGGGCGAAUAGUUGCAGGCGGUAGACCCGAAGCGUGUGUGAUCUACCCAUGGCCAGGAUGAAGCGGAUGUCAAAGUCCGUGGAGGUCCGAACCGGUUAACGUUGAAAAGUCAUCGGAUGAGCCGUGGGUAGGGGUGAAAAGGCCAAUCAAACCACGUGAUAGCUGGUUCUCCCCGAAAUAUGUUUAGCCAUAGCCUCGCGUAACUGUGUCACGGGGGUAGAGCACUGAUAGGACUAGGGUCCCCACCAGGAUACCAAAUCCUUUCAAACUCCGAAUACCGUCGACAUUUAUCGCGGGAGUCAGCCUACGAGGGAUAAGCUUCGUAGACGAGAGGGGAACAACCCAGACCAACAGCUAAGGUCCCAGAGUGUGGACUAAGUGUAUAAGGAUGUGGGGUCGCUCAGACAGCCAGGAUGUUGGCUUAGAAGCAGCCAUCAUUUAAAGAGUGCGUAACAGCUCACUGGUCAAGGGAUCCUGCGCCGAUAAUUGCCGGGAC
rnacentral:rRNA from 1 species